AGUGAUAUCUUUGGAUAAAGGGUAUAAAAAGAGGAGGCAGGUCAACUCUUGCGUGAUAAAGAGGGAUGAGAUUGUGUAUAAGGUUGAUCAUGGACAAACUUUUAUGUCUGCUUCUCUUAAGAUUGGGGAAGAGGGAGAAGAUAGAAUAGAAGGAGGGGACAUUUCUAGUUCCGUUCUGACAUUCUAAAAAGUUGAAGGAGAGGGGUAUCUCUCUAUAGCAGAGGGUUGAUAAACCACUGUAAUACCUCAAAUAAUCUUAAA
rnacentral:lncRNA from 10 species